GACGAACGCUGGCGGCGUGCCUAAUACAUGCAAGUCGAACGCUUCUUUCCUCCCGAGUGCUUGCACUCAAUUGGAAAGAGGAGUGGCGGACGGGUGAGUAACACGUGGGUAACCUACCCAUCAGAGGGGGAUAACACUUGGAAACAGGUGCUAAUACCGCAUAACAGUUUAUGCCGCAUGGCAUAAGAGUGGAAGGCGCUUUCGGGUGUCGCUGAUGGAUGGACCCGCGGUGCAUUAGCUAGUUGGUGAGGUAACGGCUCACCAAGGCCACGAUGCAUAGCCGACCUGAGAGGGGGAUCGGCCACACUGGGACUGAGACACGGCCCAGACUCCUACGGGAGGCAGCAGUAGGGAAUCUUCGGCAAUGGACGAAAGUCUGACCGAGCAACGCCGCGUGAGUGAAGAAGGUUUUCGGAUCGUAAAACUCUGUUGUUAGAGAAGAACAAGGACGUUAGUAACUGAACGUCCCCUGACGGUAUCUAACCAGAAAGCCACGGCUAACUACGU
rnacentral:rRNA from 1 species